rnacentral:rRNA from 1 species
CAAGUAGGUGGUCUCAUUUGUUUAGGGUGAAAUCCUUGGGCUUAACUCAAGAAGUGCCCUAAAAACGGUGAGACUCGAGUUCUGGAGAGGGUCGUGGAAUUCCCGGUGUAGCGGUGAAAUGCGUAGAGAUCGGGAGGAACACCAGAGGCGAAGGCGGCGACCUGGACAGACACUGACACUCAACUGCGAAAGCGUGGGGAGCAAACAGGAUUAGAUACCCUGGUAGUCCACGCUGUAAACGAUGGGAACUAGGUUUGAUGGGUCUUGACCCCCGUCGAACCGGCGCUAACGCACUAAGUUCCCCGCCUGGGAAGUACGGUCGCAAGACUAAA